rnacentral:rRNA from 1 species
UACGUAGGGGGCGAGCGUUGUCCGGAUUUAUUGGGCGUAAAGAGCUCGUAGGCGGUUCGGCAAGUCGGAUGUGAAAUCUCCACGCUCAACGUGGAGGGGCCAUCCGAUACUGCCGUGACUCGAGUCCGGUAGGGGAGUGUGGAAUUCCCGGUGUAGCGGUGAAAUGCGCAGAGAUCGGGAGGAACACCCAUAGCGAAGGCAGCACUCUGGGCCGGUACUGACGCUGAGGAGCGAAAGCGUGGGGAGCGAACAGG